rnacentral:rRNA from 1 species
UUGGCUCGAGUGGCGAACGGGUGAGUAACACGUGAGUAACCUGCCCUUGACUUUGGGAUAACUUCAGGAAACUGGGGCUAAUACCGGAUAGGAGCUCCUGCUGCAUGGUGGGGGUUGGAAAGUUUCGACGGUUGGGGAUGGACUCGCGGCUUAUCAGCUUGUUGGUGGGGUAGUGGCUUACCAAGGCUUUGACGGGUAGCCGGCCUGAGAGGGUGACCGGCCACAUUGGGACUGAGAUACGGCCCAG